AUUGAACGCUGGCGGCAGGCCUAACACAUGCAAGUCGAACGAGUGGCGGACGUGCGAGUAAUGUCUGGGAAACUGCCUGAUGGAGGGGGAUAACUACUGGAAACGGUAGCUAAUACAGCAUACCAUCGGAUGUGCCCAGAUGGGAUUAGCUAGUAGGUGGGGUAACGGCGCACCUAGGCGACGAUCCCGAGCUGGUCUGAGAGGAUGACCAGCCACACUGGAACUGAGACACGGUCCAGACUCCUACGGGAGGCAGCAGUAGGGAAUAUUGCACAAUGGGCGCAAGCCUGAUGCAGCAAUGCCGCGUGUAUGAAGAAGGCCUUCGGGUUGUAAAGUACUUUCAGCGGGGAGGCGUUACCUGCAGAAGAAGCACCGGCUAACUCCGUGCCAGCAGCCGCGGUAAUUC
rnacentral:rRNA from 1 species